rnacentral:rRNA from 1 species
AGGACGAACGCUGGCGGCGCGCCUAACACAUGCAAGUCGAGCGAUGAAGAGCGAAAAGAAGUCUUCGGACGGAAAUUUGUUCGGAUUAGCGGCGGACGGGUGAGUAACACGUGAGUAACCUGCCUUUAACACAGGGAUAGCCUCGGGAAACCGGGAUUAAUACCUGAUAACAAUAUAAGAUCGCAUGAUCAUAAAUUCAAAGCGUUCAGCGGUUAAAGAUGGACUCGCGCCUGAUUAGCUGGUUGGUAAGGUAACGGCUUACCAAGGCAACGAUCAGUAGCCGGCCUGAGAGGGUGAACGGCCACAUUGGAACUGAGAAACGGUCCAGACUCCUACGGGAGGCAGCAGUGGGGAAUAUUGCACAAUGGGGGGAACCCUGAUGCAGCGACGCCGCGUGAGCGAAGAAGGUUUUCGAAUCGUAAAGCUCUGUCCUUGGAGAAGAUAAUGACGGUAUCCAAGGAGGAAGCCCCGGCUAACUACGUGCCAGCAGCCGCGGUAAUACGUAGGGGGCUAGCGUUGUCCGGAAUCACUGGGCGUAAAGGGUUCGCAGGCGGCAUGGCAAGUCAGCUGUGAAAGGCGGGGGCUUAACCCCCGUAAGCAGUGAAACUGUCAAGCUUGAGUAGGGAGAGGC